rnacentral:lncRNA from 1 species
UUCCUUUUAGAUUUAUGCAAUUCUCCCAGAUUCACAUAUCCAAUAAUUCGAUAAUUAUAUUGGAUUCACAAAUAAUCAUAUUUAGCUUAAAAAUCCAAUCAAUUUUUUAGCCAUCCAAUUGUCAAACUUCAUGUAACACAAAGCUCUUCCGGAUAAAGGGGAAAAAACUUUAGAAUUUCUCUAGCCUUUACUUGGUAGAAACAAAGAAGAAGAAAAAGUCGAACAGAAAGAAAGAAAGAAAGUAAGAAAGAAGGGAAAAAAUCGAACAGAAGCAAAAAAGAAAUGAAAAAAGUUGAACAGAAAGAAAAAAAAAAAGAAAAAAAA